rnacentral:rRNA from 1 species
UACGUAGGGGGCAAGCGUUGUCCGGAAUCAUUGGGCGUAAAGAGCGUGUAGGCGGCCCGGUAAGUCCGCUGUGAAAGUCCAGGGCUCAACCCUGGGAUGCCGGUGGAUACUGUCGGGCUCGAGUCCGGAAGAGGAGUGUGGAAUUCCUGGUGUAGCGGUGAAAUGCGCAGAUAUCAGGAGGAACACCAAUGGCGAAGGCAGCACCUCUGGGACGUGACUGACGCUGAGACGCGAAAGCGUGGGGAGCAAACAGG